rnacentral:rRNA from 1 species
GUAGGGAAUAUUGCGCAAUGGGGGAAACCCUGACGCAGCGACGCCGCGUGAGUGAUGAAGGCCUUCGGGUCGUAAAGCUCUGUCGUAAGGGAAUAAUUUUGAAGGUACCUUACAAGAAAGGACCGGCUAACUUCGUGCCAGCAGCCGCGGUAAGACGAGGGGUCCUAGCGUUGUCCGGAAUUAUUGGGCGUAAAGCGGGUGUAGGCGGUUUUAUAAGUCAGAUGUGAAAUACCUAGGCUUAACCUGGGAAGUGCAUUUGAUACUAUAAAACUUGAAUGUCAGAGAGGGCAGUGGAAUUCCUGGUGUAGUGGUGAAAUACGUAGAUAUCAGGAGGAACAUCGGUGGCGAAGGCGGCUGCCUGGCUGAACAUUGACGCUGAGAUCCGAAAGCGUGGGGAGCAAACAGGAUUAGAAACCCCGGUAGUCC